GACGAACGCUGGCGGCGUGCCUAAUACAUGCAAGUAGAACGCACAGUAUAUACCGUAGCUUGCUACACCAUAGACUGUGAGUUGCGAACGGGUGAGUAACGCGUAGGUAACCUGCCUGGUAGCGGGGGAUAACUAUUGGAAACGAUAGCUAAUACCGCAUAAUAUUAAUUAUUGCAUGAUAAUUGAUUGAAAGAUGCAACUGCAUCACUACCAGAUGGACCUGCGUUGUAUUAGCUAGUAGGUGAGGUAACGGCUCACCUAGGCGACGAUACAUAGCCGACCUGAGAGGGUGAUCGGCCACACUGGGACUGAGACACGGCCCAGACUCCUACGGGAGGCAGCAGUAGGGAAUCUUCGGCAAUGGACGAAAGUCUGACCGAGCAACGCCGCGUGAGUGAAGAAGGUUUUCGGAUCGUAAAGCUCUGUUGUAAGAGAAGAACGGGUGUGAGAGUGGAAAGUUCACACUGUGACGGUAUCUUACCAGAAAGGGACGGCUAACUACGUGCCAGCAGCCGCGGUAAUACGUAGGUCCCGAGCGUUGUCCGGAUUUAUUGGGCGUAAAGCGAGCGCAGGCGGUUAGAUAAGUCUGAAGUUAAAGGCUGUGGCUUAACCAUAGUACGCUUUGGAAACUGUUUAACUUGAGUGCAGAAGGGGAGAGUGGAAUUCCAUGUGUAGCGGUGAAAUGCGUAGAUAUAUGGAGGAACACCGGUGGCGAAAGCGGCUCUCUGGUCUGUAACUGACGCUGAGACUCGAAAGCAUGGGUAGCAAACAGG
rnacentral:rRNA from 1 species